rnacentral:misc_RNA from 1 species
GCAUGGAGGGCGCACCGUAAGCCCGCCCCUGCCUCUCUCUGGCACUGUCCAUACGACGGUCUUUACGCCUCCCCCCUCCCCCUCACCUACCCACUUAACACACACCCGCGUCGCGGCUCUUCCCUCUCCUUCCUUAGGCUGUAUCCAUUAACUGCACCGUCCCGUCCUCCCCACCCCACCCCACCCCAUCACCAAAACCUGUACCUACGCACCCUCCCUGCACUUCCCGCCCGAUGGAGCGCAAUCCGGUGCAUCCUUUGGACGCCACGGCGAAGCUUCCUGUACGCCAAAAGGAGGUCACGUUCGACUCCCUCUGCGUGAACGCCGACGACCGGUUUGUGGAAGGUCUGUCCAGCAAGUCAGAGGAGCGGCGCGGCUUCCGCCCCAAUACGAAGCUGUACGCCGCUAACGCAGCGCGCACGCGGGGCCGCACAGGCGGCGCCUCAGAGUUAGGCUUCACGGAAUCCCUGCCUAUCCUGAAUGAGGUGAUCGGUGAGGAAAAGAUCUCUCACAUUGGCCGCCCUCGUGGACGUCAGCCGCGCGCGCUGGAUGGCCACGCAGAUGCCAUCUCUGUCGCCCGCGGCAAAGCAAAGAGCAGCUUGACCCGUCCAGUUCACGCAACGCCGACAUCGAUGCCGUCAACGCGGAGUCUAUGGGUGGAGGGCAGCUCUGUGCUCAACCAAGACGUCGGCCAUGCCUCUGCGGCACUUACUCACCUUUCCGACUGCGUCGCACAAGAGCGUCGCCUCAAGUUGGAGUGGGAGGCGGCACGUCUGGCGAAGAUACGCGCACUGCGCGCCGUUGUGAAGGUGUUCAUGCAGUCCUUCAUCGAUCGCGGCUCGUUCGCGAGGUCCACGAGCGUUUGCGGUAAGGUGAUGUCUGACACCCUGGCGGUGGCGCGCUGCUCCGUCAUAACAAACACACUCGUCGGCACCGUGCAGAAUUUCAUGCGUGCCUUUCGCUCACGCCGACUGUGUGCUGCGCGCGGCCCUGUGUCAAGGCCCCAACUGUUCCCGAACAUCGCGGGGCAGGAGAGUGACGGAUUUGCAAUGAGCUUGUACUCGAGCGCACCUGGCGGGGCAGAGUCGUCGGUCAAUGAAUCGUACGUCUCGCCGAAUCACAGCGUCAGCGACUACCUAGAGGAGGAGGAAGUGAGUCGUAUCAAGCAGCUCUACUUUGACUACUUUGACUGCGAGGCCGUAAGCAUCAGCUCUGCGGUAGCGUCCGGGAGCGACAUGUCGAUCUUGGCUUAUAGUACUACCUCGUCCAUAUCAAGGCCCUCGAGCCCUGUCUCCAGAGGAGGAGACCACAGCAGCUUCUCUCACUGCGCCUCCACUACGAUGUGAAGAUGGAACUGAUGGAUGUUUUGUAGUGAGCAUGCGCGCGGGUGCGUGCCUGUGUGCGUAAGUGCCUGGAGCUCUGUUUUGCGCUUCUUACUUUUUGCUUCCUAUUUAUCUCUCACAGCGCCACGCCGGAGAAGAGGGGCGCACGUGCUCAUAUGUGCGUGCUCGCACCUCAGCGCUUAUCAGUUGCAUGCCCCCUUCACUCUUGCGCCUUUGCUGUGUGCUUUGGCGUUGGUGUUUGCAACCAAGAAUCGGUGUGUGCGGGUGUGUGUAUGGCGUGCACGUGUUUGAUUCCCUCCCCCCUCCUCCUACCCCGUGAGUUUUUCGUUGUGCAUAACUGCUGUCGGCUGUAUGCUCUGUAGACGUUUAUGUAGCUCCUGCUGUAGUGCGCUUCUCUUCCCGCGCGGCCAC